GGCUGAGGUUGAGCACCGCCGCGCCGGCUCUGCGGGUUACUGCUACGCUGCGCUUUUUCGUCCUUGGAAGGUAGCAAACCCUUGUAAAACUUCUUGUUCUUAGCGACACUCCCGGCUGAGCGGAAAGACAUGACGACACAUUUAGUCGGGAGAGUCGGUGUAGUAUCCCGGGUAAUGUUUAGGAUGCGAUAACGUGUGAUCAGCGUUUAGAGGUAAGGCGUGCAGACUAAAGGGCCUGCUGGCGCUGUCAUGCAGGGGUCCGAUGGGGGGCGAUGGUGGGCCGGGAGCGCGGGGAACUUCUCUCGCGGCUUCCGGGCGAGAACCUUAUGCAUUUUGAGCUAUCUGCAUGUGGAUUUGCAACUUUCGAUAUAAUUACGAUUUGCGUGGGACCGCCCCAUUCACCUAAGAAGCGGGCCUAUUGGCCGCCCCACCCGCUGGUAAAUUGCGAGUGGGGCGCGCGCCAUACCUGCGGCGUGUAGCCUUGCACGCAC
rnacentral:lncRNA from 1 species